CGGACGGGUGAGUAACGCGUGAGAAUCUGUCUUUUGGAUUGGGACAACAUUGGGAAACCGAUGCUAAUACCCGAUGUGCCGAGAGGUGAAAGAGUAAUUGCCUGAUGAAGAGCUCGCGUCCGAUUAGCUAGUUGGUGGGGUAAGAGCCUACCAAGGCGACGAUCUGUAGCUGGUCUGAGAGGACGAUCAGCCACACUGGAACUGAGACACGGUCCAGACUCCUACGGGAGGCAGCAGUGGGGAAUUUUCCGCAAUGGGCGAAAGCCUGACGGAGCAAGACCGCGUGAGGGAGGAAGGCUCUCUGGGUUGUAAACCUCUUUUCUCUGGGAAGAAGAUCUGACGGUACCUGAGGAAUCAGCCUCGGCUAACUCCGUGCCAGCAGCCGCGGUAAUACGGAGGAGGCAAGCGUUAUCCGGAAUUAUUGGGCGUAAAGCGUCCGCAGGUGGCUAGUCAAGUCUGUGGUCAAAGCACACGGCUCAACUGUGUAUAGGCCGUGGAAACUGACAGGCUAGAGUGCGGUAGAGGCAGAGGGAAUUCCCGGUGUAGCGGUGAAAUGCGUAGAUAUCGGGAAGAACACCAGUGGCGAAGCGCUCUGCUGGACCGCAACUGACACUCAGGGACGAAAGCUAGGGGAGCGAAUGGGAUUAGAUACCCCUGUAGUC
rnacentral:rRNA from 1 species